GACGAACGCUGGCGGCGUGCUUAACACAUGCAAGUCGAACGGAAAGGCCCUGCUUUUGUGGGGUGCUCGAGUGGCGAACGGGUGCGUAACACGUGAGUAACCUGCCCUUGACUUUGGGAUAACUUCAGGAAACUGGGGCUAAUACCGGAUAGGAGCUCCUGCUGCAUGGUGGGGGUUGGAAAGUUUCGGCGGUUGGGGAUGGACUCGCGGCUUAUCAGCUUGUUGGUGGGGUAGUGGCUUACCAAGUCUUUGACGGGUAGCCGGCCUGGGAGGGUGACCGGCCACAAGAGGACUGAGAUACGGACCAGACGCCUACGGGAGACAGCGGGGGGGAGUAUGGCACAAUGGGCGGAAGCCUGAUGCAGCAACGCCGCGGGCGGGAUGACGGCCUGCUGGUUGUAAACCGCUUUCGCCUGUGACGAAGCGUGAGUGACGGUAAUGGGUAAAGAAGCACCGGCUAACUACGUG
rnacentral:rRNA from 1 species